ACGUUGAAGAUCCUAAUCACUUUGGUCCGUUCAUUUAUUUCAGAAACACGGGCUCAACUUUACUCUGGCACACAGAGAAUAUUACAUUGUUGCUUAAAGAAACAAUCAGUGGUGUUUCCUGAAACACCGCCACUUGUUAGCACAUUCUAGUAACAGCUCCAUUCACUCAUAUGACAAAAGAACAACCACUUUUAUUUGUUUACCAUGAAACUAUCGCUCUAACUUUCAACGAGAGAGAGAACAAACUCCAAUAAACACAACGUACUUCAUUGGAUCGUCUCCUACAGCACUCAAUAUCAAUUGUUGUACAUGAUUUCAAUCCAUCUUGCUUCUAAAGAAACGGCCACCUAUUAGUACAAAAUCUAGCAACAGCUACAAACUCCUUUCACUCGAAAGUCAAAACACAACCGCUUUCACUUCUUCACUAAGGAAACUGUAAG